AGAGUUUGAUCCUGGCUCAGGAUGAACGCUAGCGGCAGGCCUAAUACAUGCAAGUCGAACGAGAUUGAGGAGCUUGCUCCUCAUGAAAGUGGCGCACGGGUGCGUAACGCGUAUGCAAUCUACCUUAAUCAGGGGGAUAGCCCGGAGAAAUCCGGAUUAAUACCGCAUAACGUUAUUUUAUGGCAUCAUAGAAUAACCAAACAUUUAUGGGAUUAAGAUGAGCAUGCGUGACAUUAGUUAGUUGGUGAGGUAACGGCUCACCAAGACUACGAUGUCUAGGGGAUCUGAGAGGAUGACCCCCCACACUGGUACUGAGACACGGACCAGACUCCUACGGGAGGCAGCAGUAAGGAAUAUUGGUCAAUGGGCGCAAGCCUGAACCAGCCAUGCCGCGUGCAGGAAGACGGCCCUAUGGGUUGUAAACUGCUUUUAUUCGGGAAUAAACCUCUUUACGUGUAAGGAGCUGAAUGUACCGAAGGAAUAAGGAUCGGCUAACUCCGUGCCAGCAGCCGCGGUAAUACGGAGGAUCCAAGCGUUAUCCGGAUUUAUUGGGUUUAAAGGGUGCGUAGGCGGCCUGUUAAGUCAGGGGUGAAAGACGGUGGCUCAACCAUCGCAGUGCCCUUGAUACUGAUGGGCUUGAUUACAGUUGAGGUAGGCGGAAUGUGACAAGUAGCGGUGAAAUGCAUAGAUAUGUCACAGAACACCGAUUGCGAAGGCAGCUUACUAAAGUGUAAAUGACGCUGAGGCACGAAAGCGUGGGGAUCAAACAGGAUUAGAUACCCUGGUAGUCCACGCCCUAAACGAUGAACACUCGAUGUUAGCGAUAUACAGUUAGCGUCUAAGCGAAAGCGUUAAGUGUUCCACCUGGGGAGUACGCCCGCAAGGGUGAAACUCAAAGGAAUUGACGG
rnacentral:rRNA from 1 species